rnacentral:rRNA from 1 species
AUAUGUGUCUAAAGAGAAAUGGAAAUACCCAGUUCCAUUCCGAACCUGGAAGUCAAGCAUUUCAUCACUGAUAAUACUGCAUCUUUCAGAUGUGGAAAUGUAAGUCGGUGCAUAUU